GUCGGGAUAGCUCAGUCGGUAGAGCA
rnacentral:tRNA from 4 species